CUCACCAACCGUGAGCUCAUGACCUGAGCCAAAGUCGGACUCAAGCGACUGAGCCACCCAGGCGCCCUGAGAGCCUGCUGUUUUGAUGCUCUGUCAGGAAAGCACACCUUGAGAAUUGCUUAUGUUGCCUGUCUUCUGUGUUGUGCACGGUUUUAUAGAGGGUCACUAUGUUUACAUGAUAAUACCUUUCAAAGUUAGAUGCAGCAAUAAAAAUGAUUGUUUACAAGUAUGUCAGACUUUAUUGUGUCGGGGACGUUUCCUCCCCAAUUAUUUAAGCUUCCUAUCACUGCAGUGACACGUUGCCGCAGAGUUGAUGACCUAAGACAAAAUAAGUGUAUUAUCUUACAGUUCUGAAGGUCCGAUGGCCCCAAAAUGAGACUUAGGAGUGUCCCAUCAAGACGUCAGCGGGCUGCGUUCCUUCUGGACCCUCCAGAGAAGACCCCAUUUCCUCGCUCUUCCAGAUUCUGGAAGCUGCCUCCAUUCCUUGACCCUCGGGCCCUACCUCCUUCUUCAAAACACAUCCCUCUGCUUCUGCUGUCACGCCCCCUUUUCCGACUUUUGACCCCUUGCCUCUUUCCGAUGAGGAUUUUUGUGAUUAUGUUGGGCCCGCUCAGAUAAUCCAGGGUAGUCUCUCCAUUUUAAGACCUGUAACUUAAUCCCGUCUGCAAAGCCCCUUUGCACAGAUUCUGAGUGUGGUUUCUACUGAAUGCAUAUCGCUUCGGCAAUGCAAAGUUGAAAAAUCAUAAGAACCAUUGUCGGUCAGCGACCAUCUGUAUAUAUAUCCAUAGGUAUCUAGACGCAGAUCUGUGUAGAUCUACAUCUAUCUAUCCAUCCAUUCAUCCAUCGUACAUCCUGUUCUGUUUCUCUGGAUAACCCCAACAAAUUCAGCAGGAAUAAUAUCCGCCAUUUUACAGUAAGCUUAGAGAGCUUUGAUAACCUUCCCAAGCACAAGGAGGGCACGUAGGGGGCCUAGGAGUCACGCCGAGGUCUGUGUGACCCCUCGGCCCUUGCCCUGCCUGUUACUGACUGCUGCUGGAAGCAUUACAGGUGAACGGCCUGGCACCCCGAAGGUUAAAUAUUGCCCUAGUCACUCUCUCCAGAAAUGCUAACUCGGGAAAAAGUGUCCCGGGGGUCAAGAGGUUAAAUGACCAGAGCCAACCUGUGACCUUUCCCUCUUUCUCGUACCUCAAGAUUCUCAAAUCUCAGAGGGAUGACUCGACCCAGAUGCCACAGGAGAGAGAGGUCACGUGGCACCGUCGCGUCUGCUGGAGGCCCUCUGCUCGUGUCAGCUUCCAUAGCUGUCGGCUCAUGGGAAGACCAGCCAUUUUGACGGAACCUGUACGACGUGCGAGACGUUGUACCCUCCUUCUCUAUAAUCUCUACCGCAGUCCUGCCAAGGUUGACUUCAUAUUGUAGCUGCCGUGACCAGACAACAGUUAACGACUAAUAUGGACCGGGUGGCUCUCCGUUAUCUUUUAACCAAGCCAUUGGCCUCCAAGCUUGCCCACUUAAUUGCCUUAGACUGGGGAGGGACAUAUCCCUUCCCUUCCGCACCACGAGUGAAGCCCCUGUGUUAGUUCUGAGCUCCAUGCAGCUCAGGGCUCACUGUCCAAUGAGUGACGUAGCCAGACAUGUGGUGACACCAGUAUGAAGAGCAAUAAGACAGAAGUGACUCGAGGUGGCCCCAGAGGCCUAAAGAAGUGACGCCGCCCUCAGUCUGUGGGUUUGGGGAAGGCUGUGAUCUCAUACCCACGUCGCAGACCGUGGGGAGCACGGAGGCACGGGGCACAGCUUGGCCGAUCAGAUUCUCUUGUCUCCCGGGGACAGGGACGAGCUGGCCUCAGCCAGGGCUGCACUCAACCUGCUGCCAGCCCCCCCACGGCCUGGUUGUCCAGCUCCUUCUGGAAGUCUCUGAAGAAUCGGUGUCUUUCCAAAAGAUCCUUCCUCCCAACUGCUGUCAGUCGGAAUACAUUUAUCCUGCCUGCUAGAAAAACACAUCUAAUGCCCGCUUUCUCUCCUUUAAAGUUUUUAAUUGAGGUGAAAGUCACGCGACAUAAAAUGAGCCGUUUGAAAGUUCAGAAUUCAGCGGCAUUUAGCGCAGUCGCAGUGUUGUGCGGCCCCCACCUCGAUCAAGCUCCAGAAGAGUUUCAACGUCCCUCGAGGAGUCAGUCUCCAUGACCCGUCCCCCAGGCCCUGGCAACUGCUAGUCUGCUUUCUGUCUAUGGAUUUACUCCUUCUGGAUAUUUCAUGUAAAUCGAA